UUUAGGGGUGAGCAAACUGAGCCCCGUGUAGAUGUUCAGUAACUUUCCCAAGGUCAUAGUAAGCAGAGAGGCUGGAAUUCAAACCCAGAUCUGUUCACCCCAGCACUGGGUCCACAUGACUUCUGGCCCGUCAAGGCUCCUGGCCUGUGCCCUUGUGUGAGCUGCUGCUGGGCACGGGCCUGGAGACAGCCGGGGGAGCUUGGCAGUGGGUGCCAUCACCGGGCUGUAUAUGGUGGACACGAGCUUCCUGUUGUUUUCCUGUCACCCUCGUCCCUUGGAUGGCAUGCCACUUAUAGUUUGGCUGCUCAUGUCCAGUCUGCUGCACUGGGAGUGCUGGGUCCCCCGUGCCUCAUGUUAGGGUGUCCCUCCAAAGCAGGCACCUUCUCUACCCUGUGGAUUGGCAGAGGCAGUUCUAUUUCUAGGUAAUGAAUGGACCUUACGGAAGAUUGGUCUCUUCCGCCCGAAGAGCUAGAAAUAACUGUUCUCAAGCAAGGCCCAUGCUUUCUCAGCACAGAGCUGGUUUUCCCAGGCACUCUGCAGUUAACCCCACUAUUACUCUGGAAUGCAGAGACCCCUUGGCCCUGUCGGAUUUACUUUAGUAGCAGCCUCUGCUUCCAAAUGCAGCUGCUUUCUGGAAGAGGGUGUGGUAGUGGAACAGAAAUGGCUUAGGUCUUGGCACUAGAUACAAUUGGGUUCAAACUUCGGCUCCACCAGUUACAAGCUGUGUGACCUUGGGCUAGUCAGCUUUUUAGUUCCUAUUUCUUUCCCUUAAAAAGUCUUAAUUUGACAAGUAAUACAUAUCAAAUAUACAUUCUUUAAUGUGAAAAUACACAUAAGCAAAAAGAAAUAUGAAAAAUCACUGUUAAAUUUUAGUAUACCUCUUUUAAGAUUAAUUUUUCUACCUCCUUUUAUUUACACAUAUAUGCAUAUAUACAGUAGAAAACAUAUAAAUAUAUAUGCAACUGCUCUGUCCCCCUUACCCAGUGCAGGGGUUAAGAAGGGCCUGUUUGUUAGGAAAAGUCUUCAGCACAACCGAUCCUGCUUGCUUACUGAGCUGCUGACAUUCUCAGUUUUGAGAACGAGGUAGGAGAGUUGCAGAAUCAGAGGGAGGCCUGGCUCCUCGCGGGGAGGAAAACGGAAGAUCAGAUAACAAGACUAAGCACGUGAACUCCAGAUGCAUAACCUUGGAUCAAAAUUGGGGUGCCAGACCAGAGUGGGUGGACAGACACAUGCAGCAAAUAUUUGCCACGUAAAUGGAUGGGUGAAAUUAUGGCUCAUUAAGCUCUCACGGGAGGUGUGAGGUUGUAUGUAGCAUGUGGAGUUUGCAUAUGGCCUCUAAUAUCUGCCUGGGAGUUUUCAGUUUAAAAAUGCCAGCAAAGAAGAAACCCACAGGGAGCUUUAACCAGCCUAAGAAUGAGCCGUGGAAAAUUGUGUCUUUCAUGCCU
rnacentral:lncRNA from 10 species